UACGGAGGAUGCGAGCGUUAUCCGGAUUUAUUGGGUUUAAAGGGUGCGUAGGCGGACUGUCAAGUCAGCGGUAAAAUACGGGGGCUCAACCUCCGCCCGCCGUUGAAACUGACGGUCUUGAGUGGGCGAGAAGUAUGCGGAAUGCGUGGUGUAGCGGUGAAAUGCAUAGAUAUCACGCAGAACUCCGAUUGCGAAGGCAGCAUACCGGCGCCCAACUGACGCUGAAGCACGAAAGCGUGGGUAUCGGACAGG
rnacentral:rRNA from 1 species